AGGUGAGUGCUUGUUCGCCGCUUAGUGGUAGUUUUAUUGGAAAAUCACUUAGUAAUUUAUAAAACGUGGGGCAUCGUCUAUUUAUAGUCUUAAUAUAAUUAUUUAUAGCAGACUAUCCUCCCCCGCUCAUUCACACCUCACUCCGUAUAUUCCCGACAUGCCUCGCUAACAAUAUGGCGUCGAUCCCUGGUCUGCGAUAACAACACGGAAUACACACACAACACUGUCAGCCUCUGUGAUGAGAUAUUAUUAUGAAUGAUCUAUGAAGAGAAGUACACAUUGUUUGAGAGCAUGGCAGAAUGCUCAAGCAUCCCAUCUGAUAGUGACAAUGAAGAUGACACCAAGCUUCCCCAGUUUUCUUUCCAUAAACAAACAUCAUACAGGAAAGCUAUUUCCAAAAAUGCAUUGAACCAUGCAGCCAAUUAUUUACAUCCUACCCACGCUGAG
rnacentral:misc_RNA from 1 species